UACGUAGGGGGCUAGCGUUGUCCGGAUUUAUUGGGCGUAAAGAGCUCGUAGGCGGUUUGUCGCGUCUGGUGUGAAAACUCAGGGCUUAACUCUGAGCUUGCAUCGGGUACGGGCAGACUAGAGUGUGCUAGGGGAGACUGGAAUUCCUGGUGUAGCGGUGAAAUGCGCAGAUAUCAGGAGGAACACCGGUGGCGAAGGCGGGUCUCUGGGCCGAUACUGACGCUGAGGAGCGAAAGCGUGGGGAGCGAACAGG
rnacentral:rRNA from 1 species